AAGAAAGUUUUUAUAUAAAGGAAUGAUUUUAAUUUUAAUUUUAAUUAAAAUAUUAUUAAGAAUUAAGGUUUUAGUAUAAUAAAGAAAAAAUAAUUAAUAUUAUAAUUUAUUAGUAAUGUAAAUGAAUUAAUAUAUUUAAGAAGAAAGAAUUUUUUAAUUAAAGUACCUUUUGUAUCAGGGUUUAUUAAAUUAAUAUUUAUUAUUUAAAGGAUCUCGAAUUUAAAAGAUUUAAUUUAUUAUUUUUUAUAUUGUAGAAUAAAUAUUUAUAAUAAUUAAUUGGUAAUAAAAUGUUAUUCGUUUUUAAAUAUAUCUAGUUUUUUCAGAAAAAAAUUUAAUUUUGUUAUAAAUUAUUAUUUAUAUUUUUAUUAUAAUAUAAAUAUAAAUUUAUAGAAAUAUUUUUAGGGAUAAGCUUAAAAAUAUAUAUUAUAUUUAUUUAAAUAUAAAUAGAAUAAUUUUAUGAAUAAUAAUUUCAAUAAAAAUAAAAGUUUUAUAAUUUAUAUUAUUUUAUUAUAAUUUUUAUAAAAUUAAUUAAUUAAUGAAAAAUUUUAAUAUAAUUAUUUAUUAAAUAUAUAAUGAUAAAAUUAGUAUAUUAUUAUAAAUUAAAUUAAUUUAUUUUUUUUUGUAAAUUAAAGUUAAGGAAUUCAGCAAAAUAAUUGUUCGCCUGUUUAUCAAAAACAUGGUUUUUUGUUUAUAAUUUAAGAUUUAAUCUGCCCACUGAAUUAGAUUUAAAGGGCCGCAGUAUCUUGACUGUGCAAAGGUAGCAUAAUCAUUUGUCUCUUAAUUGUUGACUUGUAUGAAUGAUUGGACGAGAUAAUUACUGUCUCUAUUUUAUUUUAAAUAAAAUUUUAUUUUUAAGUUAAAAAGCUUAAAUAAAUUUUAAGGACGAGAAGACCCUAUAGAGUUUAAUUAAUGAUAUAAAAAUUUAUAUUUUUGUAAAUAAUUUAUUUUUAUUUAUAUUAAUUUAGUUGGGGUGAUUUAAAAAUUUAUUAAACUUUUUAAAAUUUAAAUCAAUAAAUUUUGUUUAUUUUGAUCCAGAAAUUUUGAUUAAAUGAAUAAAUUACCUUAGGGAUAACAGCGUUAUUAUUUUGGAAAGUUCAUAUUUAUAAAAUAGUUUGCGACCUCGAUGUUGAAUUAAGAAAAAUUUUUGGAGCAGUAUUUAAAAUUUUUAGUCUGUUCGACUAUUAAAUUCUUACAUGAUUUGAGUUCAAACCGGUGUAAGCCAGGUUGGUUUCUAUCCUAAAUUAUAUAAAAUAUUUUAGUACGAAAGGACCAUAUAUUUAAUUAAAAAUUUAAUUUAAG
rnacentral:rRNA from 1 species